rnacentral:lncRNA from 1 species
GGAAGUCGGGGUGUCAGGGAGAAUGGUUUGUAGUAUUGAUGACAAUGGUUAAGGAAGGCCUGAGUUCUGCAAAGACCUCAAGGAUAUGAGGGACUAGAGUGCCCUCUGCUGUGGAAGAGCCUGCGCAAAGAUCCUGAGGUGGGAGGGGUCAGGGAGCCAACUCAUUUUACGGUAAGUGGAGGUGGGAUCCAGGGGAGGAUUCUGAGCAGAGGAGGGACGUGGCCCAAUUUGGGCUUUGAAAGGAUCCUGCUUGUCUGUGUGCCAGCAUCCUGGUGGUGGUUGGGGGAGUCUGCAUCAAUCCUGGGUGCUGUUACCUGAAAAAAUAGCAGGUGUUAGACGAAAGAACAGAUGUCUGGCCCAUUGUCUCCAGUCUGUUCCUGUCCACAGCUUCCCUUUAUGCUGAGCCCCUGCCACAU